rnacentral:rRNA from 1 species
UACCCGCUGAACUUAAGCAUAUCAAUAAGCGGAGGAAAAGAAACCAACAGGGAUUGCCCUAGUAACGGCGAGUGAAGCGGCAAAAGCUCAGAUUUUAAAUCUGUCGUCAUUUUGGCGUCCGAGUUGUAGUCUGUAGAGGUGUAUUCGAGUGUGGCUCUGGCUUAAGUUCCUUGGAACAGGGCGUCAUAGAGGGUGAGAACCCCGUUAACGGCCUUUGUCUUAUGCUCAUGUGAAUCUCCUUCAACGAGUCGAGUUGUUUGGGAAUGCAGCUCUAAAUGGGUGGUAAAUUCCAUCUAAAGCUAAAUACUGGCAAGAGACCGAUAGCGCACAAGUAGAGUGAUCGAAAGAUGAAAAGAACUCUGAACAGAGAGUUAAAUAGUACGUGAAAUUGUUGAAAGGGAAGCACUUCCGACCAGACGCACUUGCAGCCGAUCAAUCUUCAUUCUUGAGGGUGCACUCGGCUGUCUGUGGGUCAGCAUCAGUUAUGGCGGUGGGAAAAAGACUGAGGGAAUGUGGCUCCUUUCGGGGAGUGUUAUAGCCUUUGGUGCAAUGCUGCCUGCUGUGACUGAGGACCGCGCUUCGGCGAGGAUGCUGGCAUAAUGGUCGUAAGUGACCCGUCUUGAAACACGGACCAAGGAGUCUAACAUCUAUGCGAGUGUUUGGGUGUUCAAACCCUUACGCGGAAUGAAAGUAAAUGGAGGUGGGAACCGGAAGGUGCACCAUCGACCGAUCCUGAUGUUUUCGGAUGGAUUUGAGUAGGAGCAUAGCUGUUGGGACCCGAAAGAUGGUGAACUAUGCCUGAAUAGGGUGAAGCCAGAGGAAACUCUGGUGGAGGCUCGCAGCGGUUCUGACGUGCAAAUCGAUCGUCAAAUUUGGGUAUAGGGGCGAAAGACUAAUCGAACCAUCUAG